GUGGGGAAUAUUGGACAAUGGGCGCAAGCCUGAUCCAGCCAUGCCGCGUGAGUGAUGAAGGCCCUAGGGUUGUAAAGCUCUUUCAGUGGGGACGAUAAUGACGGUACCCACAGAAGAAGCCCCGGCUAACUUCGUGCCAGUAGCCGCGGUAAUACGAAGGGGGCUAGCGUUGUUCGGAUUUACUGGGCGUAAAGCGCACGUAGGCGGAUCGUUAAGUCGAGGGUGAAAUCCUGGAGCUCAACUCCAGAACUGCCUUCGAUACUGGCGAUCUUGAGUCCGGAAGAGGUGAGUGGAACUCCUAGUGUAGAGGUGGAAUUCGUAGAUAUUAGGAAGAACACCAGUGGCGAAGGCGGCUCACUGGUCCGGUACUGACGCUGAGGUGCGAAAGCGUGGGGAGCAAACAGGAUUAGAAACCCUGGUAGUCC
rnacentral:rRNA from 1 species